CGAAUAAUACCAAUACGGAAUACGGGUCGUAAAGCAUUCGGAUAGAAAAAAUGUUUCAAAUUGUAACGUAGAGUAAAAAAAAAGUCAAAAAAUGGAUAAACAAGGAAGAUGAAAGAUCAAGGAUUGUAAGGAUACAGGUGCCAGUUCAACGACGUACAAAUUCCUGGUAGCUAAAGAGUUUGAAGGGGAUUAAGUACGAACAUUUCACUGACACCUUCGUUUGAAGAAUUAAGUUUCCCAUUACUGUGGUUGUUACCAUACUUUAAAUGCAUCAAGAGACUUCAUUUGGUGAAGAAAACUCAUCGUAUCAAAAACCACGUACCAAGAAUGGAUGAGAUAAAUGGCGAGUGAAGGGAAACACAUACCUGUAUAUCCGGAAUGCUAGCUGCCUCCUCAGCAAAGUGUCUUCGAUCGGGUUUUGGGCUAUGCUGGUGUGGCAGUUU